UGGCUCAGAUUGAACGCUAGCGGGAUGCCUUACACAUGCAAGUCGAACGGCAGCACGGACUUCGGUCUGGUGGCGAGUGGCGAACGGGUGAGUAAUGUAUCGGAACGUGCCUAGUAGCGGGGGAUAACUACGCGAAAGCGUAGCUAAUACCGCAUACGCCCUACGGGGGAAAGCAGGGGAUCGCAAGACCUUGCACUAUUAGAGCGGCCGAUAUCGGAUUAGCUAGUUGGUGGGGUAACGGCUCACCAAGGCGACGAUCCGUAGCUGGUUUGAGAGGACGACCAGCCACACUGGGACUGAGACACGGCCCAGACUCCUACGGGAGGCAGCAGUGGGGAAUUUUGGACAAUGGGGGAAACCCUGAUCCAGCCAUCCCGCGUGUGCGAUGAAGGCCUUCGGGUUGUAAAGCACUUUUGGCAGGAAAGAAACGUCGUGGGUUAAUACCCCGCGAAACUGACGGUACCUGCAGAAUAAGCACCGGCUAACUACGUGCCAGCAGCCGCGGUAAUACGUAGGGUGCAAGCGUUAAUCGGAAUUACUGGGCGUAAAGCGUGCGCAGGCGGUUCGGAAAGAAAGAUGUGAAAUCCCAGAGCUUAACUUUGGAACUGCAUUUUUAACUACCGAGCUAGAGUGUGUCAGAGGGAGGUGGAAUUCCGCGUGUAGCAGUGAAAUGCGUAGAUAUGCGGAGGAACACCGAUGGCGAAGGCAGCCUCCUGGGAUAACACUGACGCUC
rnacentral:rRNA from 1 species